GCGGGUGUGCCCGUGGCCUAUUUUUGGCACACGGAGGCCGCCCGCAAAGUCUGGGGCCAUUCCGAGUCCGGCGGACGAACUUCGCCCACGCCCCGCACCAAGGCUAUAGCCCACCCGUUUUUUGGCCAUUUUUCCGCUGGGGGGUCUUGGCGCCCCGACCUUCGGGGGCUGAAUUUUGGGCGCGGGUGUGCCCGUGGCCUAUUUUUGGCACACGGAGGCCGCCCGCAAAGUCUGGGGCCAUUCCGAGUCCGGCGGACGAACUUCGCCCACGCCCCCCACCAAGGCUAUAGCCCACCCGUUUUUUGGCCAUUUUUCCGCUGGGGGGUCUUGGCGCCCCGACCUUCGGGGGCUGAUUUUUGGGCGCGGCUGUGCCCGUGGCCUAUUUUUGGCACACGGAGGCCGCCCGCAAAGUCUGGGGCCAUUCCGAGUCCGGCGGACGAACUUCGCCCACCACCCCCACCAAGGCUAUAGCCCACCCGUUUUUUGGCCAUUUAUCCGCUGGGGGGUCUUGGCGCCCCGACCUUCGGGGGCUGAAUUUUGGGCGCGGGUGUGCCCGUGGCCUAUUUUUGGCACACGGAGGCCGCCCGCAAAGUCUGGGGCCAUUCCGAGUCCGGCGGACGAACUUCGCCCACGCCCCCCACCAAGGCUAUAGCCCACCCGUUUUUUGGCCAUUUUUCCGCUGGGGGGUCUUGGCGCCCCGACCUUCGGGGGCUGAUUUUUGGGCGCGGGUGUGCCCGUGGCCUAUUUUUGGCACACGGAGGCCGCCCGCAAAGUCUGGGGCCAUUCCGAGUCCGGCGGACGAACUUCGCCCACGCCCCCCACCAAGGCUAUAGCCCACCCGUUUUUUGGCCAUUUUUCCGCUGGGGGGUCUUGGCUCCCCGACCUUCGGGGGCUGAUUUUUGGGCGCGGGUGUGCCCGUGGCCUAUUUUUGGCACACGGAGGCCGCCCGCAAAGUCUGGGGCCAUUCCGAGUCCGGCGGACGAACUUCGCCCACGCCCCCCACCAAGGCUAUAGCCCACCCGUUUUUUGGCCAUUUUUCCGCUGGGGGGUCUUGGCGCCCCGACCUUCGGGGGCUGAAUUUUGGGCGCGGGUGUGCCCGUGGCCUAUUUUUUGCACACGGAGGCCGCCCGCAAAGUCUGGGGCCAUUCCGAGUCCGGCGGACGAACUUCGCCCACGCCCCCCACCAAGGCUAUAGCCCACCCGUUUUUUGGCCAUUUUUCCGCUGGGGGGUCUUGGCGCCCCGACCUUCGGGGGCUGAAUUUUGGGCGCGGGUGUGCCCGUGGCCUAUUUUUGGCACACGGAGGCCGCCCGCAAAGUCUGGGGCCAUUCCGAGUCCGGCGGACGAACUUCGCCCACGCCCCCCACCAAGGCUAUAGCCCACCCGUUUUUUGGCCAUUUUUCCGCUGGGGGGUCUUGGCGCCCCGACCUUCAGGGGCUGAUUUUUGGGCGCGGGUGUGCCCGUGGCCUAUUUUUGGCAAACGGAGGCCGCCCGCAGAGUCUGGGGCCAUUCCGAGUCCGGCGGACGAGCUUCGCCCACGCCCCCCACCAAGGCUAUAGCCCACCCGUUUUUUGGCCAUUUUUCCGCUGGGGGGUCUUGGCGCCCCGACCUUCGGGGGCUGAUUUUUGGGCGCGGGUGUGCCCGUGGCCUAUUUUUGGCACACGGAGGCCGCCCGCAAAGUCUGGGGCCAUUCCGAGUCCGGCGGACGAACUUCGCCCACGCCCCCCACCAAGGCUAUAGCCCACCCGUUUUUUGGCCAUUUUUCCGCUGGGGGGUCUUGGCGCCCCGACCUUCGGGGGCUGAUUUUUGGGCGCGGGUGUGCCCGUGGCCUAUUUUUGGCAUACGGAGGCCGCCCGCAAAGUCUGGGGCCAUUCCGAGUCCGGCGGACGAACUUCGCCCACGCCCCCCACCAAGGCUAUAGCCCACCCGUUUUUUGGCCAUUUUUCCGCUGGGGGGUCUUGGCUCCCCGACCUUCGGGGGCUGAUUUUUGGGCGCGGGUGUGCCCGUGGCCUAUUUUUGGCACACGGAGGCCGCCCGCAAAGUCUGGGGCCAUUCCGAGUCCGGCGGACGAACUUCGCCCACGCCCCCCACCAAGGCUAUAGCCCACCCGUUUUUUGGCCAUUUUUCCGCUGGGGGGUCUUGGCGCCCCGACCUUCGGGGGCUGAAUUUUGGGCGCGGGUGUGCCCGUGGCCUAUUUUUGGCACACGGAGGCCGCCCGCAAAGUCUGGGGCCAUUCCGAGUCCGGCGGACGAACUUCGCCCACGCCCCCCACCAAGGCUAUAGCCCACCCGUUUUUUGGCCAUUUUUCCGCUGGGGGGACUUGGCUCCCCGACCUUCGGGGGCUGAUUUUUGGGCGCGGGUGUGCCCGUGGCCUAUUUUUGGCACACGGAGGCCGCCCGCAAAGUCUGGGGCCAUUCCGAGUCCGGCGGACGAACUUCGCCCACGCCCCCCACCAAGGCUAUAGCCCACCCGUUUUUUGGCCAUUUUUCCGCUGGGGGGUCUUGGCGCCCCGACCUUCGGGGGCUGAAUUUUGGGCGCGGGUGUGCCCGUGGCCUAUUUUUGGCACACGGAGGCCGCCCGCAAAGUCUGGGGCCAUUCCGAGUCCGGCGGACGAACUUCGCCCACGCCCCCCACCAAGGCUAUAGCCCACCCGUUUUUUGGCCAUUUUUCCGCUGGGGGGUCUUGGCGCCCCGACCUUCGGGGGCUGAAUUUUGGGCGCGGGUGUGCCCGUGGCCUAUUUUUGGCACACGGAGGCCGCCCGCAAAGUCUGGGGCCAUUCCGAGUCCGGCGGACGAACUUCGCCCACGCCCCCCACCAAGGCUAUAGCCCACCCGUUUUUUGGCCAUUUUUCCGCUGGGGGGUCUUGGCGCCCCGACCUUCGGGGGCUGAAUUUUGGGCGCGGGUGUGUCCGUGGCCUAUUUUUGGCACACGGAGGCCGCCCGCAAAGUCUGGGGCCAUUCCGAGUCCGGCGGACGAACUUCGCCCACGCCCCCCACCAAGGCUAUAGCCCACCCGUUUUUUGGCCAUUUUUCCGCUGGGGGGUCUUGGCGCCCCGACCUUCGGGGGCUGAAUUUUGGGCGCGGGUGUGCCCGUGGCCUAUUUUUGGCACACGGAGGCCGCCCGCAAAGUCUGGGGCCAUUCCGAGUCCGGCGGACGAGCUUCGCCCACACCCCCCACCAAGGCUAUAGCCCACCCGUUUUUUGGCCAUUUUUCCGCUGGGGGGUCUUGGCGCCCCGACCUUCGGGGGCUGAAUUUUGGGCGCGGGUGUGCCCGUGGCCUAUUUUUGGCACACGGAGGCCGCCCGCAAAGUCUGGGGCCAUUCCGAGUCCGGCGGACGAACUUCGCCCACGCCCCCCACCAAGGCUAUAGCCCACCCGUUUUUUGGCCAUUUUUCCGCUGGGGGGUCUUGGCGCCCCGACCUUCGGGGGCUGAUUUUUGGGCGCGGGUGUGCCCGUGGCCUAUUUUUGGCACACGGAGGCCGCCCGCAAAGUCUGGGGCCAUUCCGAGUCCGGCGGACGAACUUCGCCCACGCCCCCCACCAAGGCUAUAGCCCACCCGUUUUUUGGCCAUUUUUCCGCUGGGGGGUCUUGGCGCCCCGACCUUCGGGGGCUGAAUUUUGGGCGCGGGUGUGCCCGUGGCCUAUUUUUGGCACACGGAGGCCGCCCGCAAAGUCUGGGGCCAUUCCGAGUCCGGCGGACGAACUUCGCCCACGCCCCCCACCAAGGCUAUAGCCCACCCGUUUUUUGGCCAUUUUUCCGCUGGGGGGUCUUGGCGCCCCGACCUUCGGGGGCUGAAUUUUGGGCGCGGGUGUGCCCGUGGCCUAUUUUUGGCACACGGAGGCCGCCCGCAAAGUCUGGGGCCAUUCCGAGUCCGGCGGACGAACUUCGCCCACGCCCACCACCAAGGCUAUAGCCCACCCGUUUUUUGGCCAUUUUUCCGCUGGGGGGUCUUGGCGCCCCGACCUUCGGGGGCUGAAUUUUGGGCGCGGGUGUGCCCGUGGCCUAUUUUUGGCACACGGAGGCCGCCCGCAAAGUCUGGGGCCAUUCCGAGUCCGGCGGACGAGCUUCGCCCACGCCCCCCACCAAGGCUAUAGCCCACCCGUUUUUUGGCCAUUUUUCCGCUGGGGGGUCUUGGCGCCCCGACCUUCGGGGGCUUAAUUUUGGGCGCGGGUGUGCCCGUGGCCUAUUUUUGGCACACGGAGGGCGCCCGCAAAGUCUGGGGCCAUUCCGAGUCCGGCGGACGAACUUCGCCCACGUCCCCCACCAAGGCUAUAGCCCACCCAUUUUUUGGCCAUUUUUCCGCUGGGGGGUCUUGGCGCCCCGACCUUCGGGGGCUGAUUUUUGGGCGCGGGUGUGCCCGUGGCCUAUUUUUGGCACACGGAGGCCGCCCGCAAAGUCUGGGGCCAUUCCGAGUCCGGCGGACGAACUUCGCCCACGCCCCCCACCAAGGCUAUAGCCCACCCGUUUUUUGGCCAUUUUUCCGCUGGGGGGUCUUGGCGCCCCGACCUUCGGGGGCUGAUUUUUGGGCGCGGGUGUGCCCGUGGCCUAUUUUUGGCACACGGAGGCCGCCCGCAAAGUCUGGGGCCAUUCCGAGUCCGGCGGACGAACUUCGCCCACGCCCCCCACCAAGGCUAUAGCCCACCCGUUUUUUGGCCAUUUUUCCGCUGGGGGGUCUUGGCGCCCCGACCUUCGGGGGCUGAUUUUUGGGCGCGGGUGUGCCCGUGGCCUAUUUUUGGCACACGGAGGCCGCCCGCAAAGUCUGGGGCCAUUCCGAGUCCGGCGGACGAGCUACGCCCACGCCCCCCACCAAGGCUAUAGCCCACCCAUUUUUUGGCCAUUUUUCCGCUGGGGGGUCUUUGCGCCCCGACCUUCGGGGGCUGAAUUUUGGGCGCGGGUGUGCCCGUGGCCUAUUUUUGGCACACGGAGGCCGCCCGCAAAGUCUGGGGCCAUUCCGAGUCCGGCGGACGAACUUCGCCCACGCCCCCCACCAAGGCUAUAGCCCACCCGUUUUUUGGCCAUUUUUCCGCUGGGGGGUCUUGGCGCCCCGACCUUCGGGGGCUGAUUUUUGGGCGCGGGUGUGCCCGUGGCCUAUUUCGGGCACACGGAGGCCGCCCGCAAAGUCGGGGGCCAUUUCGAGUCCGGCGGACGAACUUCGCCCACGCCCCCCACCAAGGCUAUAGCCCACCCGUUUUUUGGCCAUUUUUCCGCUGGGGGGUCUUGGCGCCCCGACCUUCGGGGGCUGAAUUUUGGGCGCGGGUGUGCCCGUGGCCUAUUUUUGGCACACGGAGGCCGCCCGCAAAGUCUGGGGCCAUUCCGAGUCCGGCGGACGAACUUCGCCCACGCCCCCCACCAAGGCUAUAGCCCACCCGUUUUUUGGCCAUUUUUCCGCUGGGGGGUUUUGGCACCACGACCUUCGCGCGCUUAUUUCUGGGCGCGGCUUUGCCCGCGGCUUAUUUUUGGCACCCCGAGGCCCCUCGCAAAGUCUCGCCCCAUUCCGAGUCCGGCGGACGAACUUCGCCCGCGCCCCCCACCAAGGCUAUAGCCCACCCGUUUUUUGGCCAUUUUUCCGCUGGGGGGUUUUGGCACCACGACCUUCGCGCGCUUAUUUCUGGGCGCGGCUUUGCCCGCGGCUUAUUUUUGGCACCCCGAGGCCCCUCGCAAAGUCUCGCCGCAUUCCGAGUCCGGCGGACGAACGUCGCCCGCGCCCCCCACCAAGUCUAUAGCCCACCCGUUUUUUGGCCAUUUUUCCGCUCGGGGGUUUUGGCACCACGACCUUCGGGCGCUUAUUUUUGGGCGCGGCUUUGCCCGCGGCUUAUUUUUGGCACCCCGAGGCCCCUCGCAAAGUCUCGCCCCAUUCCGAGUCCGGCGGACGAACUUCGCCCGCGCCCCCCACCAAGGCUAUAGCCCACCCGUUUUUUGGCCAUUUUUCCGCUGGGGGGUCUUGGCGCCCCGACCUUCGGGGGCUGAUUUUUGGGCGCGGGUGUGCCCGUGGCCUAUUUUUGGCACACGGAGGCCGCCCGCAAAGUCUGGGGCCAUUCCGAGUCCGGCGGACGAACUUCGCCCACGCCCCCCACCAAGGCUAUAGCCCACCCGUUUUUUGGCCAUUUUUCCGCUGGGGGGUCUUGGCGCCCCGACCUUCGGGGGCUGAAUUUUGGGCGCGGGUGUGCCCGUGGCCUAUUUUUGGCACACGGAGGCCGCCCGCAAAGUCUGGGGCCAUUCCGAGUCCGGCGGACGAACUUCGCCCACGCCCCCCACCAAGGCUAUAGCCCACCCGUUUUUUGGCCAUUUUUCCGCUGGGGGGUCUUGGCGCCCCGACCUUCGGGGGCUGAAUUUUGGGCGCGGGUGUGCCCGUGGCCUAUUUUUGGCACACGGAGGCCGCCCGCAAAGUCUGGGGCCAUUCCGAGUCCGGCGGACGAACUUCGCCCACGCCCCCCACCAAGGCUAUAGCCCACCCGUUUUUUGGCCAUUUUUCCGCUGGGGGGUCUUGGCGCCCCGACCUUCGGGGGCUGAAUUUUGGGCGCGGGUGUGCCCGUGGCCUAUUUUUGGCACACGGAGGCCGCCCGCAAAGUCUGGGGCCAUUCCGAGUCCGGCGGACGAACUUCGCCCACGCCCCCCACCAAGGCUAUAGCCCACCCGUUUUUUGGCCAUUUUUCCGCUGGGGGGUCUUGGCGCCCCGACCUUCGGGGGCUGAUUUUUGGGCGCGGGUGUGCCCGUGGCCUAUUUUUGGCACACGGAGGCCGCCCGCAAAGUCUGGGGCCAUUCCGAGUCCGGCGGACGAACUUCGCCCACGCCCCCCACCAAGGCUAUAGCCCACCCGUUUUUUGGCCAUUUUUCCGCUGGGGGGUCUUGGCGCCCCGACCUUCGGGGACUGAUUUUUGGGCGCGGCUGUGCCCGUGGCCUAUUUUUGGCACACGGAGGCCGCCCGCAAAGUCUGGGGCCAUUCCGAGUCCGGCGGACGAACUUCGCCCACGCCCCCCACCAAGGCUAUAGCCCACCCGUUUUUUGGCCAUUUUUCCGCUGGGGGGUCUUGGCGCCCCGACCUUCGGGGGCUGAAUUUUGGGCGCGGGUGUGCCCGUGGCCUAUUUUUGGCACACGGAGGCCGCCCGCAAAGUCUGGGGCCAUUCCGAGUCCGGCGGACGAACUUCGCCCACGCCCCCCACCAAGGCUAUAGCCCACCCGUUUUUUGGCCAUUUUUCCGCUGGGGGGUCUUGGCGCCCCGACCUUCGGGGGCUGAAUUUUGGGCGCGGGUGUGCCCGUGGCCUAUUUUUGGCACACGGAGGCCGCCCGCAAAGUCUGGGGCCAUUCCGAGUCCGGCGGACGAACUUCGCCCACGCCCCCCACCAAGGCUAUAGCCCACCCGUUUUUUGGCCAUUUUUCCGCUGGGGGGUCUUGGCGCCCCGACCUUCGGGGGCUGAUUUUUGGGCGCGGGUGUGCCCGUGGCCUAUUUUUGGCACACGGAGGCCGCCCGCAAAGUCUGGGGCCAUUGCGAGUCCGGCGGACGAACUUCGCCCACCACCCCCACCAAGGCUAUAGCCCACCCGUUUUUUGGCCAUUUUUCCGCUGGGGGGUCUUGGCGCCCCGACCUUCGGGGGCUGAAUUUUGGGCGCGGGUGUGCCCGUGGCCUAUUUUUGGCACACGGAGGCCGCCCGCAAAGUCUGGGGCCAUUCCGAGUCCGGCGGACGAACUUCGCCCACGCCCCCCACCAAGGCUAUAGCCCACCCGUUUUUUGGCCAUUUUUCCGCUGGGGGGUCUUGGCGCCACGACCUUCGGGGGCUUAAUUUUGGGCGCGGGUGUUCCCGUGGCCUAUUUUUGGCACACGGAGGCCGCCCGCAAAGUCUGGGCCAUUCCGAGUCCGGCGGACGAACUUCGCCCACGCCCCCCACCAAGGCUAUAGCCGACCCGUUUUUUGGCCAUUUUUCCGCUGGGGGGUCUUGGCGCCCCGACCUUCGGGGGCUGAAUUUUGGGCGCGGGUGUGCCCGUGGCCUAUUUUUGGCACACGGAGGCCGCCCGCAAAGUCUGGGGCCAUUCCGAGUCCGGCGGACGAACUUCACCCACGCCCCCCACCAAGGCUAUAGGCCACCCGUUUUUUGGACAUUUUUCCGCUGGGGGGUCUUGGCGCCCCGACCUUCGGGGGCUGAAUUUGGGGCGCGGGUGUGCCCGUGGCCUAUUUUUGGCACACGGAGGCCGCCCGCAAAGUCUGGGGCCAUUCCGAGUCCGGCGGACGAACUUCGCCCACGCCCCCCACCAAGGCUAUAGCCCACCCGUUUUUUGGCCAUUUUUCCGCUGGGGGGUCUUGGCGCCCCGACCUUCGGGGGCUGAAUUUUGGGCGCGGGUGUGCCCGUGGCCUAUUUUUGGCACACGGAGGCCGCCCGCAAAGUCUGGGGCCAUUCCGAGUCCGGCGGACUAACUUCGCCCACGCCCCCCACCAAGGCUAUAGCCCACCCGUUUUUUGGCCAUUUUUCCGCUGGGGGGUCUUGGCGCCCCGACCUUCGGGGGCUGA
rnacentral:lncRNA from 1 species